rnacentral:tRNA from 2 species
GGGCUCAUGGUCUAGCGGUUAUGACGUCACUCUCACACAGUGAAGGUCGCCGGUUCGAUCCCGGCUGAGCCCA